UCCCCGAUCGCAUAAUGGUAUUGCACUCGGCUGUUAACCGAGCGUGCGGCGAAAGCUGCUUCCAGGUUCGACCCCUGGUCGGGGAGUCA
rnacentral:tRNA from 1 species